CUUAAUUAAUUUAUUUUGUUUGUAACUUUAUGGUACCUCCAAGCAUAAGUCUAUACAUGUUUUGACAGUUUAAAAAAAGUAAAUAGUUAAUAUCCAAUGCAUGAUUGCAGGAGGUUGUUACAGUGUUGCUUCAAAAUGGUGCUGAUGUGUCAGUGCUGAACCCUGAGGGUCACACUGCGAAAUCAUUGACACAUAACCCGGAAAUAAUACAACUCAUUGAAGCCGCAGAAGUCCAUGAAACCAGUCGUGUCGAAGAGGAGAUAAUGUCGUCUGUCAGGCAUGGGGAAGUGGAGAAAAUAAAAGAUUUAGUCAGCAGCGGCAAGGUGAACAGUGUAGGGUGCCUGGACAGUUUUGGUAACUCUGCACUACACAUAGCAGCCCAGUUUGGUCAGAAAGACGUCGCAGUGUUCCUGCUCCAACAGGUUAUUGA